UUAAGCGACUAAGCGUACACGGUGGAUGCCCUGGCAGUCAGAGGCGAUGAAGGACGUGCUAAUCUGCGAUAAGCGUCGGUAAGGUGAUAUGAACCGUUAUAACCGGCGAUUUCCGAAUGGGGAAACCCAGUGUGAUUCGUCACACUAUCAUUAACUGAAUCCAUAGGUUAAUGAGGCGAACCGGGGGAACUGAAACAUCUAAGUACCCCGAGGAAAAGAAAUCAACCGAGAUUCCCCCAGUAGCGGCGAGCGAACGGGGAGCAGCCCAGAGCCUGAAUCAGUGUGUGUGUUAGUGGAAGCGUCUGGAAAGGCGUGCGAUACAGGGUGACAGCCCCGUACACAAAAAUGCACAUACUGUGAGCUCGAUGAGUAGGGCGGGACACGUGGUAUCCUGUCUGAAUAUGGGGGGACCAUCCUCCAAGGCUAAAUACUCCUGACUGACCGAUAGUGAACCAGUACCGUGAGGGAAAGGCGAAAAGAACCCCGGCGAGGGGAGUGAAAAAGAACCUGAAACCGUGUACGUACAAGCAGUGGGAGCACGCUUAGGCGUGUGACUGCGUACCUUUUGUAUAAUGGGUCAGCGACUUAUAUUCUGUAGCAAGGUUAACCGAAUAGGGGAGCCGAAGGGAAACCGAGUCUUAACUGGGCGUUAAGUUGCAGGGUAUAGACCCGAAACCCGGUGAUCUAGCCAUGGGCAGGUUGAAGGUUGGGUAACACUAACUGGAGGACCGAACCGACUAAUGUUGAAAAAUUAGCGGAUGACUUGUGGCUGGGGGUGAAAGGCCAAUCAAACCGGGAGAUAGCUGGUUCUCCCCGAAAGCUAUUUAGGUAGCGCCUCGUGAAUUCAUCUCCGGGGGUAGAGCACUGUUUCGGCAAGGGGGUCAUCCCGACUUACCAACCCGAUGCAAACUGCGAAUACCGGAGAAUGUUAUCACGGGAGACACACGGCGGGUGCUAACGUCCGUCGUGAAGAGGGAAACAACCCAGACCGCCAGCUAAGGUCCCAAAGUCAUGGUUAAGUGGGAAACGAUGUGGGAAGGCCCAGACAGCCAGGAUGUUGGCUUAGAAGCAGCCAUCAUUUAAAGAAAGCGUAAUAGCUCACUGGUCGAGUCGGCCUGCGCGGAAGAUGUAACGGGGCUAAACCAUGCACCGAAGCUGCGGCAGCGACGCUUAUGCGUUGUUGGGUAGGGGAGCGUUCUGUAAGCCUGUGAAGGUGUGCUGUGAGGUAUGCUGGAGGUAUCAGAAGUGCGAAUGCUGACAUAAGUAACGAUAAAGCGGGUGAAAAGCCCGCUCGCCGGAAGACCAAGGGUUCCUGUCCAACGUUAAUCGGGGCAGGGUGAGUCGACCCCUAAGGCGAGGCCGAAAGGCGUAGUCGAUGGGAAACAGGUUAAUAUUCCUGUACUUGGUGUUACUGCGAAGGGGGGACGGAGAAGGCUAUGUUGGCCGGGCGACGGUUGUCCCGGUUUAAGCGUGUAGGCUGGUUUUCCAGGCAAAUCCGGAAAAUCAAGGCCGAGGCGUGAUGACGAGGCACUACGGUGCUGAAGCAACAAAUGCCCUGCUUCCAGGAAAAGCCUCUAAGCAUCAGGUAACAUCAAAUCGUACCCCAAACCGACACAGGUGGUCAGGUAGAGAAUACCAAGGCGCUUGAGAGAACUCGGGUGAAGGAACUAGGCAAAAUGGUGCCGUAACUUCGGGAGAAGGCACGCUGAUACGUAGGUGAAGCGACUUGCUCGUGGAGCUGAAAUCAGUCGAAGAUACCAGCUGGCUGCAACUGUUUAUUAAAAACACAGCACUGUGCAAACACGAAAGUGGACGUAUACGGUGUGACGCCUGCCCGGUGCCGGAAGGUUAAUUGAUGGGGUUAGCGCAAGCGAAGCUCUUGAUCGAAGCCCCGGUAAACGGCGGCCGUAACUAUAACGGUCCUAAGGUAGCGAAAUUCCUUGUCGGGUAAGUUCCGACCUGCACGAAUGGCGUAAUGAUGGCCAGGCUGUCUCCACCCGAGACUCAGUGAAAUUGAACUCGCUGUGAAGAUGCAGUGUACCCGCGGCAAGACGGAAAGACCCCGUGAACCUUUACUAUAGCUUGACACUGAACAUUGAGCCUUGAUGUGUAGGAUAGGUGGGAGGCUUUGAAGUGUGGACGCCAGUCUGCAUGGAGCCGACCUUGAAAUACCACCCUUUAAUGUUUGAUGUUCUAACGUGGACCCGUGAUCCGGGUUGCGGACAGUGUCUGGUGGGUAGUUUGACUGGGGCGGUCUCCUCCUAAAGAGUAACGGAGGAGCACGAAGGUUGGCUAAUCCUGGUCGGACAUCAGGAGGUUAGUGCAAUGGCAUAAGCCAGCUUGACUGCGAGCGUGACGGCGCGAGCAGGUGCGAAAGCAGGUCAUAGUGAUCCGGUGGUUCUGAAUGGAAGGGCCAUCGCUCAACGGAUAAAGGUACUCCGGGGAUAACAGGCUGAUACCGCCAAGAGUUCAUAUCGACGGCGGUGUUUGGCACCUCGAUGUCGGCUCAUCACAUCCUGGGGCUGAAGUAGGUCCCAAGGGUAUGGCUGUUCGCCAUUUAAAGUGGUACGCGAGCUGGGUUUAGAACGUCGUGAGACAGUUCGGUCCCUAUCUGCCGUGGGCGCUGGAGAACUGAGGGGGGCUGCUCCUAGUACGAGAGGACCGGAGUGGACGCAUCACUGGUGUUCGGGUUGUCAUGCCAAUGGCACUGCCCGGUAGCUAAAUGCGGAAGAGAUAAGUGCUGAAAGCAUCUAAGCACGAAACUUGCCCCGAGAUGAGUUCUCCCUGACCCUUUAAGGGUCCUGAAGGAACGUUGAAGACGACGACGUUGAUAGGCCGGGUGUGUAAGCGCAGCGAUGCGUUGAGCUAACCGGUACUAAUGAACCGUGAGGCUUAACCUU
rnacentral:rRNA from 1 species